rnacentral:lncRNA from 1 species
CGGGGAGGCGGUGGUUCGGCGAGGGGCGGUGACGACGUCAGGGUCGGCGAACAGGAGUUCGGCUGCUGCAGGUUGCGUGGCGAGGGGAGCGAGCAGCGGCGUCGGGUCGCUAGUCCGAGCGGCACGGGCGGAGCAGCGGGCAGGGGGUAGAAGACAGCUUCGCUCGGAGGAGGCUCGGAGCGGAUUUGCUGGGCGUCGGAGUA